rnacentral:lncRNA from 1 species
CUCAUUGUUUGCAUUGUGAUGGGCGCGUUCGCUAGUUUCCGAACUACUUUCCCUCUUUGGACAUGUUCAAUCGCUUACAUCCUUUAUCCUUUCUCCUUGGCGCUCGUUUAUGUUCUCGAUUAUGUCUUUGGCUGGUCGUAGGUUCAAUGAAUAGAGAUGGUAGUUUAGGAGGGUAAAGCCAUUUGUUUGUGAGCCUUCAUGGUUUUUCCCAAUGUAUGAACUUGUCAAACUCUUUUUCCCUUAGACAUUGGUUUUCAGAGAAGACUAUUCCGGAUUUGUUGUUAUGGUGUUUGUAAUUUGGAGCAGUAUAUACCUCAGUUUAUAUUAGCUCCAUUUAUGUCAGUUUUCUGUUUUCUUUUUUAAGCAACAAUAAUAAAAAAAUAUUUAUUUUUGUGAUACUCCGAACUCUCCAUUUCCAUCUUCUUUAAAGCAUUCAUAGCUAUUCGAAAAAUGAAUCAUUUUUAAAUGUUAAAAGGGAGUUUUAGAUUCAACCCAUCUUAAAGAAGCAAGGUAAAAUGAAAACUAAACCCAACCCAGUCUUCCAAAGAGAGCAGCAAUGACGGAUUUCAGUUAAAAAAGAGAACAGUACCUGGAACAUCAAUAUUGAGAUGCUAAGACAGUCGAAUUGAAGGCAGCCUCGGCCUGCAUGUGAUGUAACAAGAAAGAAAUUGCAGUCAGACUCUGAGACAAUUGCUGUGAUGUCGAAAAAGAAGAGCAUGCAAGUUUACUGUCAAAAGCUCGUACACAUAUGGGAAGCAAAAGAGGAGCUGAUGAAGGUAGCUUAGGCCUAGGGAGUUGAACUGAAUUGCAGAGAGAGAAAAGAAGCUGCUGCAGCCUGCAGUGGAAAACAUCUGGCUUAGUUAUCA